UACGUAGGGGGCGAGCGUUGUCCGGAUUUAUUGGGCGUAAAGAGCUCGUAGGCGGUUCGGUAAGUCGGGUGUGAAAACUCUGGGCUCAACCCAGAGCCGCCACCCGAUACUGCUGUGACUUGAGUGCGGUAGGGGAGCGGGGAAUUCCUGGUGUAGCGGUGAAAUGCGCAGAUAUCAGGAGGAACACCAGUGGCGAAGGCGCCGCUCUGGGCCGUGACUGACGCUGAGGAGCGAAAGCGUGGGGAGCGAACAGG
rnacentral:rRNA from 1 species